rnacentral:lncRNA from 1 species
CCUGGCUAGGCCUCGCCCCGUGUGACUCUAGGCAAGAAGCCCGAUCGCUUGGCUUCAGGCCCCCCAGCUGUGAAGUGGGGAUGAGGUUGUUCUCACCUCCUACGAUGGAGGAACAAACGCACUAAUGCCUUCGCUAGCGUUACCUUGGGGACGGUGCUGGCUGCUGCAGCACCUUUAGUCUCCCCACGUCCUUCCUGCUGGGUUUGGUCCUCACCCAUGGCUGGGAUGGGACGGACAAGGGGGGCCCUGGCCCGAGGAGCGGGCCUCCCGCAGGUCACCUCCCUCCUGGGAAAUGAGGAGAGGAAGGAGGAGCCACCACCACAGGGAGACUGGUGACAGAGGCCAGCCUGCUGCGGUCAGAUGGCCAGCAGAUCCAGAGCUUUCACGAUGCCUGGGUUUUCUCAGGCACAGGACCUGCUGCUCCAGAUAAACCCCUCCAUGGUCUUGGCUUCCCUCUGCCCCAAAGUCCUGCCCUGCCUGAGGCACAGAGGCGAAGGAUUAGAGACGCUCGUAGCUUGACUGGCUUGGGAUCCCCAGCCCUGAGGACGUGCAACUCUCGGGGUCACGGUGGAGGAAGAAGGGCUGCUGAUCAAACCAACCUCUUGGUCGAGGGCCUGGGACAUUUUGACCCAGCUCUUCUGCUCCUGUGGACCUUUGGACCCCGAAGACACUCAGAAUGCAAGCAUUUUAAUCAGAACUACCCAACCGGGGUGAGUUUUCAUCUCGAAAGGACCAGAAUUCCACAGGGAACUCCAUUAAGCCAAUUGAAUCCCUUUAUCAAUUUUCUAUACAGCUCAGUUAAACCAUUUCCGAUAUUUCCAUUUCCAUUUUGCUGAAAUUAUUUUCCUAGAGAUCAAUUCUUUUGCAUUUAGAAUUUCACAGAGGAGAUUUGCUUCCUAAAUCUGUUUUUUUUUUUUUUUUUUUUUUUUUUUUUUUUUUUUUUUUUUUUUUUUUU